rnacentral:lncRNA from 1 species
CGUUUUUGUUUUUUAAUUUAAUUCUUAUACAUAGAUUUCACAUAUAUAAAAGGAAUAGAAUUGUUUGAAAAUAAUUAAAAAAUAAUAUUUUAGUGCACCUAAACAACAACGAAACAGCAGGGAGUCGAUUUAAUCAACUGAUUCAAUUCAGCGACAGCUGUGGAGAUUCGAUUCUCUGAAACGAUUUUUUUGACUCAGCUGAUUCCAUGACUCGUUCUACUGAAUCAACAGCUCGGUUUCAUUCAUUAUUCAUUCAGAUGAUUCAUGAUACAACUUUCGAUUCGCACUGUGCGAUUCAGAGUCGACUCCGCAGUCUAAACAAUUGAUUCCUUCGCGAAUCGCAAUUCCGAGCGAUUCAAAGGAAUCGAUUCGUUUCUGCGGUCAACGGCAGCGUUAAUAACGGUGGGAACGGCAGCUGGGUUACUAUAACACAAUAUAACAACAGUAUAUAACAUUAAUCCGAGCAGCGUGUGUUAGUUUAGGAGAUAUAUGGAAAGUGUUGGAGCUGAUAUAAAGUUUAUCCAGCUGAAGGAGGAGAAGAACAGUAAAGUUUCUGACCUUGUCUCCUUUAGUGGAGCCUCUCCGGUAGUUUCCCGCCCCCGCUGAGGAGUUCAUCCCUCCGCCGGAGUCUCACAGGCUCUCCAGAUUCUACCAGUGAGGUGUGGAGCUACUUUGAGCUGGAUAACGGUGUAAGAAGCGAUUUAACUGCAGGGGCAAGUGGAUGCCCCGAAGCGCCCGUUGUAAAGAGCGCUGGGCAAAAAAAAAAAAAAGCACAAAAUUACUGGAUCUCAGAAAGCUGCAGGAGAGCGGAGGUGCGCUUUUCAACAAAGCUGUGGAAGUUGUUAAUCAGAUAAUAAAGCGUUGGAUCCGCUGUGAGCCGCUUUCUGGAGGCGCUGGUCCCGCAGUAGCUUUACUGCUCCUCAGAUAUUUCCCCAUCCAAUUAUUAAUAGCAGCUAAUUAGUUCCAGCCACUGGCUAAAGUAUUGUUCUUCAAACAGGAAGGAGCUGCUGGUACUGCUGAUUAAAUUCAACAUAUUCCUUAUUUAAGAGGAAAAUACAAGCAUAUAUAUUCUGGGGGUUUAACAAAAUAAUGUACAUAAUUCAAUAUGACAUAAAACAGGGCUGUCUUGGUUUAACUUUUU